UGGGGAAUAUUGCACAAUGGGCGCAAGCCUGAUGCAGCCAUGCCGCGUGUAUGAAGAAGGCCUUCGGGUUGUAAAGUACUUUCAGCGGGGAGGAAGGUGUUGAGGUUAAUAACCUCAGCAAUUGACGUUGCCCGCAGAAGAAGCACCGGCUAACUCCGUGCCAGCAGCCGCGGUAAUACGGAGGGUGCAAGCGUUAAUCGGAAUUACUGGGCGUAAAGCGCACGCAGGCGGUCUGUCAAGUCGGAUGUGAAAUCCCCGGGCUCAACCUGGGAACUGCAUUCGAAACUGGCAGGCUAGAGUCUUGUAGAGGGGGGUAGAAUUCCAGGUGUAGCGGUGAAAUGCGUAGAGAUCUGGAGGAAUACCGGUGGCGAAGGCGGCCCCCUGGACAAAGACUGACGCUCAGGUGCGAAAGCGUGGGGAGCAAACA
rnacentral:rRNA from 1 species